CUCAGCCUCCCAAAGUGCUGGGAUUACAGGCAUGAGCCACCGCACCUGUUCCUAUUUCCCUUUUCUAGACUCAAGCUAUACUCCAUAUUUAUUGGAAGCCAGUUACUAAGACCUGCUUACACUCAAAAGUAGUGGAAUUGAGACAGGGUUUCACCAUGUUGCUAAGGCUGGUCUUGAACUCUCGGACUCAAGUGAUGCUCCUGCCUCAGCCUCCCAAAGUGCUGGGAUUACAGGAUUUCUCCUUUCUGCCACCUUGUGAAGAAGGUGCCUUGCUUCCUUUUUGCUUUCCGUCAUGACUGUAAGUUUCCUGAGGCCUCCCCAGCCAUGCUGAACUGUGAGUCAAUUAAACCUCUUUCCUUUAUAAAUUACACAGUCUCGGGCCAUUCUUUAUAGCAGUAUGAAAAUGGACUAAUACAGCUUGUGUGGUAAUUUCACUGGAUGAUGCAAAAGCUUUUUUGAAAAUGUUCAAGGUUCUGCCCAAAUAUGUGAUGGUGGAAUUUAUUAUGAUAUGCAAAUGAUACUUAUAGUA